UACGUAGGGUGCGAGCGUUAAUCGGAAUUACUGGGCGUAAAGCGUGCGCAGGCGGUUCGCAACGUCUGAUGUGAAAGCCCCGGGCUCAACCUGGGGACUGCAUUGGAAACUAACGGGCUCGAGUGUGGCAGAGGGGGGUGGAAUUCCACGUGUAGCAGUGAAAUGCGUAGAGAUGUGGAGGAACACCGAUGGCGAAGGCAGCCCCCUGGGCUAACACUGACGCUCAGGCACGAAAGCGUGGGGAGCAAACAGG
rnacentral:rRNA from 1 species